AGUGUGAUAGCAAAGUAGUUGAUGCUCAAAGUGGUCAUGAAGCUACCUUAACAGCACUCCUUCCCGCAUUGGCAGGUGCCAAUAUGAUUUAUGGAUU
rnacentral:ncRNA from 1 species